rnacentral:rRNA from 2 species
UACGUAGGUGGCAAGCGAUACUCGGAAUCACUAGGCGUAAAGCGCAGGUAGGAGGUUUGGAAAGUCUCUUGUGAAAGCUCCCGGCUUAACUGGGAGAGGUCAAGGGAAACUACCAGGCUAGAGUGCGGUAGAGGUAGCUGGAAUUCCCGGUGUAGCGGUGAAAUGCGUAGAUAUCGGGAGGAAUACCUAUGGCGAAAGCAGGCUACUGGACCGUCACUGACUCUGAUCUGCGAAAGCUAGGGGAGCAAACAGG